GAUAAUUAUGAGCCUAACUUUUACAUUAUUUUUAAAUAGAUUACAAAUUAUAAAAUUAUAAAGUUUUUAAAAGUGAAAUCCGGGUGACGUCUGCGUGGAUAACGUUCAGCAUAUUGCACAGCAACUGUAGCCUGAUUACUACACUGACCAAGAAUCAGAAUCGUGUCACAAUAUUCUUCGCUCGUGUAUUCUAUACGCGACGUUUCCUAUACUUCUACAUAUACACAAUACAUCUUUCUUUCGGCAAUGCGUAACAAUCGUGCGAGAUGAUCGUCUUCUCUCAAUUGUCUUUCACUCUACAUAUGUAUGUAUUUGGUUGGGAGUAUUUGGUCAAGACUUCAAAAGGAUGUUGCGGGGCUACCCAUUUGAAAUCCUUUUUCGAUCAAUGGCACCGCGCCGCGCCGCACCGCACGAAUCAGAACCUCAAACGACCGCGGUUUCGGUCGGGACUGUCGGGGCCCCAAAGGACCUAACUGUUUCGACCCGGGCGGCAACGUCGUGUAUCGUCUCUUCGACUCUCGUAGCUCCGAUUCGCACAUCACCGAUCCCUCGAAGACUCCAUUCCGCGGCACGAUUCCGACGAGGUACCGUAACCUCCCGCGAGUGCAUUUCCAUAUCCAUGACUGCACCGUAACGUUCGCUCGUCGAGAACCACGUUGGAGAUCGCAACGGCACUGUGACGUUUCCGAGCGGUUUCCUUAACCGCCGAGCUGAGAAAACCUCUCUCGCGACGCCCGACUUGCACGGCAAAGCAGGCAUCCCUGUCUCUUUCUCUCUCUCUCUCUCUUCGCGUAUGUUUCUCGCUCCUCUCUUCAUCUCUUCCUUGCUUCGCAUUUUCUCCCUGGGGCUCUUGGGCUGCGUUUCGCAUUCCUCGAACGCUCUAAGCGCCUCGAUUCGAGUCAUCGCCGAGAAGCGCCGUGACCCUGCCCGAGACUGCAUUUCCAUACCGCCGCGCGGCUUCGAUUCGAGUCCGCGAUGAACCGCGACAUACCGAACACGCAUACACACAGCGGCAUUAAGAUAUCCAUCGGGCGGGCCUUUUUCUCGCGGCCGAGAGCGUCCCGGCCCCCGGGGGUCAUGGCCCGUUCACGGUCGUGAGACACCCCACAAAGACGGCGCGCGUGGACGCGUCGUCUCCGUCGGGCUCCAGCGCUAUCAUCAAUUGUUUUGCCUUCGGUCCGUGCACCGUUCCUUCACCCCGAUCUGUCUCCGUUCUCUCGUCCUCUCGCUCGCGCGCUGACAACUCCGGGAGAAACGCGAGAUUUCAAUGGGCAUUUCUCAGCCGGCGUCACAGAGACGUCAGUAAAUAUAAUACAUAGUACGAUCCCACGUCUCGCGCUGGACAGAAGGGUCCAGAGAAGAUGAGAAAAUCGCGGGAUCGAGGCGAAGGACAGCAGACGACGUCCCACACGUUCAUGUUGUCAUAUAACGAUCGUAGCUGUUCCUCUUUCAAUCCUGCGGACGCAUCGUUGUUUGGGGUCCUCCUCCUAUCGUCGGAUUCCAUCUGCGUUCUUUAACGCGCGCGUCAAUGAUAAUUCUCGUCCAUCGCCGUUAACGGCCCGGGAAAUAGGUUGCGUGAUGCGAAAGUGAAAGCAAACGAUGCGACAGAUGCGUGAGAAGAGAAAUUUGUCAUUUAACUUUGCGGUUACACGCGAUUGUUCAUCGAUAUUUUGCGACGUCCUACUGCAUGUUACUUUAUUGCUCAUUUGCAUACCCCGAGAUGACGGUAGUAAAGUUUUUUAGUUAUUUAAUCGCCAUUUAAUCAGCGGUGAUAUUAGUGAUUUACAUAAUGCUUCCGUAAUUACCAUAGGACACACAUAAGUACGUAACAUAAUAAACAAUUGUAAUAAGGAAACUCCAGCUUGUGUUUUGUACAACGUAUUAUAUAGCGAAGCUGCACACUGAGAAAAAGAUACUUAAAAAUUUAUUUUUGGAAUUAAAUUUAUUUUACAAAAAUGAAUCUUUAUUUACAUGGCAAAAUAUAAUUUUAUUUCUAACAAACAAAUCAGUUGAUAAGAAUAAUGAUAUAUUUUACAGAAAUAUGUACUGACUUGUGGGAAGACGAUUCUUAUUUACAUCAUUUGAUAUUAAAUUUAUGAUUUGAUGCAAUACAUUUAUUAGUAGUUUAUUAGUCAGCCCAUUUAAAUAUAACAUUGUGAAAUUAUGUAAAUAAUUUUACACAGACAUUAUAAAUUUUUUUAUUUGCUUUUAUAUAACCUGGAGAGUUAUAUUAUUCUCUCCGAGAAAGAGUACGGAUAUACAAAAUUGAUAUCUCUACAUGCUACAUGUAUUGUAGAGUACGAACAUAAAAUUCCUGAGAGAAAAUCUCUCUCAGGUAUUCCAGGAAUAUUCAUUUAGACUUUAAACGACUUUAUAGCCUCUUAAAAUCACGUCGCGCGCCACAGAAAUCAGACUUUAUCGGGCGUAAUUGAGACGUAUCGUACAUCGUGGCGCGAGAUUUUCGGAAUUUACUCUCAGCAUCGGCGAUACAGCGUGAUAAAUGCGCUCGUGUAUUACAACCAAAACUCGAUCUAGAUACAAGCCUUUCCUUCUCAUCAACAAGUGCGUGAUUGUCGUGUACGCGGCGCGCGUGUAUCCUCCGCGUGUGCGACAUGACGCAUUAUAUAUGUUACACAGCGCUGGUCGAGAGCCAACCAAAAUCGCUGUUUUUAUCUUUUGCAUUAGCAAAAGCCCAUAAAUAUCUGUUAAGGUGUUAAGUUACUCGUGGUACACGUAGAGCUCCGUUUCACGGCCUCGUGAUGCACGCCCGUGUGCCCGAGGAGGCACAGGGUAUAUCUGUGUAUAUGCGCGUGUGCGUGUGGCAGAUCACGAAUGGUAUAUCGCGAAUGUAGAUAUAUAGCGUCCGCUAAUCUGCAGUGGCAUCGAUGGUAGCCCGAAAGUCGAUUCGUCGAGGCUCGUAAUUUGUCGCGCUCGAGAUAACGCACGAAAGAACGUUAUUGUGUGCACUUUUAAUGGCUCAAGACACUUCCGGUUAUCGAGAGAAUUGUCUGACAGCAAUUUGAGACUUUUGCUUGAUAUCCUUUUUCGGGAUUUGUCUUGUUAUAUAAAAAUCUGCUUCAGAAAAAAAAAUAUUAAAGACGUAUCCAUAAAUCUUUUGAAAUUCAGAAUUAUUGGCAUUCAACCAGCUGCAGUUGGCCGUAACUAAACGAGACUCUCGAUGACCACUGGAUGUAUUUAGUAACGUCGGAAUCGCGUUCAUAAAUUCGCCAUGAGGGAACCGCAAAGUUGUUUGGGACUUCCUCCCUGCACGUGAAUCCGACGGAUUCGGUAAACGGAUACCAGGCAGAUCUCCUCCGCUCACCGGCCAUAGUCCCGCGAUUAUCUUCGCCUUCCUGCCAUAGAUCUCUCGUCGUGGCGGCCGUCCCGCACCGUUAUCUGUGAUGCUCUGUUAUCUUGUAUCAUCUAGCCACGGCUGUAUCGCUCUAAAGGUUAUGAGCUCGUGAAGCGGGUGCGCGCUUCUAACGCUAUCAACCCGCGGCUUGAUGUUAUCGAUGCCGCUAUGAUUAUUAUUACAAUCAUCGCGCUACUGUAACAUACCACGGCGAAUUAUUUUUAUCGGCAGACGCUCGUUUACCACCGCGAAACAAAUACACCACCGCUUCGCAUCCGAAGGAAAUAGCCGCAUCAACGGCACCCUUCGAUCAGCUACAAAAUGGAAAAGAUUCAAAAUGUCAGCAAGCAAAUGUCAUUUUCUUUGAUAUUUAUUUAAAAAAAAUAAUGUAAUGACAAGAUAUAUAUUUUCUUGACAUCCUGUUCAUCAAAAUUAAAAGAGAAGGGUUUAACAAGGGUCCAUAAAUUAUUCCCGACAAUUAUUACUGCACGGAGAAAAUUUUAUAGUAAAAAUUACUAUGUACGAUAUAGUAGCUACAAAUCAUAAGAAGAAAUUUUGGAGAAUUAUAUUGUAAGUAGCGUAAAUAUUGCGGUAAUUUAAUGAAAAACAUAGUAAAAAUUUGUAUAAUUGUUUUUUUGGUCCGCACUUACAAUUCACCAUUGCAAUUUUUACUAUAAAAUGUUUUCCUUGUCAAUGGAUUUGACGCGUUUAUUGUAAGCAGAAUUAAAAUAAAAAUUUUAGUGAGAAGAUUAGUUUUCGCUCAAAACAAACUCUUCGGGACUGUUAACUCUUCAAAAGAAAACGGAGACAGAGUAUAUAUUAGGUAUUUUAUUAUUCUAGAAAGAGUCUUUGAAAUUCGUCCUCGUAAGUGUGGCGCAAAGACCGCGACGAAGAUGUAGACGUAGAUGAUAUUGAGAUCGGUUUCAUUGAUCGAGCUGACGAAGAUGAUGGUGACGGUACACACAGUGAAUGCUGUGGAGAUGACAAUGUGGGCGGUGCGCGCCGUUGGAGCAAUCUGAUUGAAUUAACAAUCGAUCGAGGCAUCUUUUUCAAAAGCGUUAAUGUCAAAAGCGCAAUCGCUUCUGUUGGAUGCGGAUGACUUCACGUACGAUUCUUCUCGAUGUAGAUCCCUACAUUAAAAAAAAAAAAAAGAGUAAAAAAGCGAUGCCUUUUGGUUGACAACCGACAUUGCUCGCCUCCGCGGCGAACACGCGGAGCAAUUUCAUUUGCACGUACGCGGGUCGAAACACGUCCGACUGCGCGCGUGUAUGCGGUCCAUUCGAGUUCUCGCACCAUUCCGCAUCCCCGUGGUUACUCGAGGUGGCAACGUCUAAUUAUCCUGAGGAAAGUUCAUCCUCCAAUUAUAGCAGGCCGCCGCCACUUCGGCAUUGUUACGGAUUCUUCGUUGUUACGUUAUUAUUACGGACAACCCGCGCCGGGUUUCUUGACUGACACGUUACACGCGCAUUUACUCCUCGAUAACGCGAUGGUAUUUCUAUGAUGAAAAGCAACGCGGCAUCAUAUCGUUGCACGGGGCCGGUGAUGGUCGCCGGGGCGUUGCGUGCUUAUCGCACUCACGGCGCGUUUCUGAUUCUCUAUGGAAUUAUUAGGUUCGCUUAACACCUCUGACACGUCCCACUCUUCAUGCGUGGGUGAGGAAAAUGAAAUUAUCACGUCUGUCCGUUUGACGGAGGGUAGAACCCCAUUAUUACAGCGCCUGUGCGCGAGGAUCACUCAGCGGAGCGUAUUUAAGCGGCGCAACGUAGAGGCGAAACUCGUUGACGCCGAAAUUCAUAAGGAUCGCCUCGAAAAAGUGCGGAAUUUAUUUUUAAUAUAAAACGAAUAUGCGAAAGCCGAAGAGAGCGCGGUGUAAUUUUCACGAGGGAUAGAUCUUAAUUCUGAAAGGAAACGGUACAGCCUCAGCUUCCCGUGCUGCUUUAUCCCAUCCAGUCUCGUCUCAACGUCACAUUUAUUUUCCACGCUACACUUGCGCGUACACACGUUAUAUUGUAUAUAAAGAACAUUAUUGACCGCGUGUAAUUCCAUAACACUCGUUAACGAACCAAUCUCGUCUGCCGAUCGGUAUCUAAAUUGGAACGUAUCGGCCGCUCCAAGUCGCAGCGUCGCGCGAAUAAUGCGGCAACAUUACUCGCUGAUUGUCGCGCUUUUUCGCGAUCCCCGCCGGAUUAUAUUCGUAUCGUUCGCCCGUCGACACGCCGAUUAAGGGCCGCAUCUCGUUUUCGCACGAUUAGCGCCCGCGUCCGCCGGACGCGAUCGAUUCUAUCUCGAUUUCGCGAUCUCCCGCAGGCAUUAACCACGAACGACGAGUGGAUUAGGUCCUCGAGGAGCAAACCCCUUCUCUCUCGCGUUGUUCAACGACGCAAACACGCGCGCCCGCAAGAAGAGGAGUCCGCGCGGACGCGCAAUCGCCGCCUCGAACGCGGGCAAAAGAAAACAGACGCGGGUACAAGACGUAAGCGUAUCAAUAAAAUGUUUAAUUGGCAUUUACAUUUCUUCAUUCGACCCAACAAGAUCGUGAUACGGAUCUUCCGCUCGCUUUCUCGUGCGGGUACCUUCGUCCUUCCAAGCGCAAUACGAUCCGAACGUCAGCUUGAAUGUCCGAGGUAACCGGCUGACAAGGCAGACGCGGGAUGAGAGAAUGGGAGAGAAUCGGUAAAGGAGGGAGGGGGGGGGGAGCGAAUUUACACGGUUUUCUUUCGACCGACUAACUCAUCAGAAGAAAAGUGGAACCUGUUUCCACAAAAAUGAUCAUUCGCUCUUGACGAUGAAAACAGCAUCUUUAUUUUUCAGGAACACACUUCAAUGAUCGGUCAGCAAAAAUAAAGUACGAAAAGCGCUUCAUUGUGAAUGACUCGGUAGAAUUUCUUAUUUAUAGAAGUCACGUUUGCAGACGUAUUGUUGAGGGAGAUCAGCUUGAAACUUUUAUCUUUGCCAUUGGUACACCCUUACGUCUUUAUUCGUAAAAGAGCCUGUUUAGAUCUUAUUGUAUGGACAAAUUUGUAUUGUAUUUUUCUAUUAAUAACGUUCUAAAGUGAAUUCAAUAAAUGGUAGAAAGGUGAAUAUGUGAAAUUAAUUUGAAUUAGAUGUAUAUCUAAUAAUCACAAAUAUUUAGAAUGGCAAUAUAUUAAACGUAUAUUAUUAUUAAGAACACGAAAAGAAAUUUAUAAUUCCGACAAUCAUCCGCAGACGUUUAAUGCUUGUGAUGAAAUCUUAAACCCUAUCACUUAAUUUCUAAAUUUACGGUAUUAUUUGCUCAAGAUGAUUGAAAUUUAUAUAAACGCGAAUAGCUAUAAUACUAUAAUAAUCCAGUGUUUUAUCUUUAAGACUUAUAACGCGAUUAUAAAAUUUAGUAUGUGAUAAAAAAUUUGGUAUUUUAAGAAUACAGUUAUAGUAACUUUCUAAAAAAUAUUAUUGCACUUAAAAUUACUUUAAAUAUUUUUAACUAUUUUAGCGAGAAAGGCAGCUCGCACCAAUCAAAUUUAACAGUUAAAAUGCUCUUGCGUUUUUUAAAUGUAAAAAGUGCUAAUCGUUAUUUGUGAUGAAAGAAUAUAAUAAUUCUAGACCGAUUUUGUUCAUCAAACAUCGGAGUGUAAGAAAUAAAUAAAUGAACAACUGAAGAGUACAGAGAAAAACAGGAGAGGAUCGAAGAAAGAGAUGAGGGAAAAAAGAUAGAGGCGAAAAGCAGCUAGCUUUCUUCGUCAUCGCGUUAUGUUUUUCUUCUUUCUUCUCUUCUCCCUCAUCGUCGCCGUCUCCGUCGUCGUUUUCAUCGUUGGUGGGGGAAGAACGGAGACAUCAAAGAAGGCGACAUAUCCGUUCACACUCGGCACUCAUAUACGUUCCCUUCUGUUCCCGAGUUGCUCGCUCGUGGACCGUGUCGUCGCGAUGGUAUGCGUAUGCACGCCUGCACGCACGUACGCACACACGCUUUCGACUCGCGGAGAAUAUGGGUAACUCCGGUCGGCUGCAGGUCCGCGAAUAACACGUGACUACCAUAAUGCGGCUGAAGGCGUCUUAAUAAAAUGAACUUGUCAUUCCGAAACAGCUAACCAGCCUUCGGUCCAACCACCUCUAUCUCGCCGCCAGACUCCUGAACGCGUCCUUUCCUCUUCUAACCAUCCUCCUUCCUCGUCCCUUCGUGAACCCUACUCAAAGUCUUUCCAGCUUUCUCCAUCUCGGGUCCUCCACGCCCUUCGGUUUUAUUUAUACCUCGUUAAAUUAGCGCCGAUCGUCGAUCCGUCGUGCGAAGAGCUCAUAGGAUCAUACCGUUCAUCCUGCUUGUCCUUUUCGUUUGGAGACACCUUGUCGCGUUCCGCAUGUCUCAUCCUGUCGGCGAUGGUGUCGAUGUUGUAUCGACGUGUUGAGCGAUCGGCAUUUUAGAUUACUGAAUAAAUAUCUCGUGUGUUGUUAUAACGUGACGUUCUUAAUGGAUAGCGAUUUCUGUCGUUAAUAACGGGCGCAUAAUUGAAUUGACUAAAGUAAAAUUAUAAAUUAUUCUAAGAUUUUUUAUUUUCUGAUUAUACAAUUUUUUUAGCAGAAAAUAAUUAAAUAGUUAAACGAGAUGUAAAGGCGUAAAUAAAAAUUGAGAACUUUUAUGAUAGUGAUAACUAUAUACUCGUGAAAAAUAAAAAAUAAAUCGAAAUAUAAUAGUUUGUUAUCAUCGUUAUCACAGCCGUGAAAAUCGGGAAGGAUUAUAUUCGUGCGACUGUUUGAAAUUUUUAUUCGUGCGAUAUAACAACAAGUCAUAAGGCCCACAGGCCUAAGAAGGGGAGGGGGUGAGCAGAAAGAGUGAUGGGUACAUCACGGUGGCCGCGGAGAAAGGGCAGCCACCCGGAAAAGGGCAACGGAGCACUUGAAAUGAAAGGGCGAAUGGAUGCGCCUAGGUAAGCGCGCAAGAGACACGUAAAGGCAUUCAUCUCAUUCAAGGUAGGCCUUAAGUCUCUGAUCAGAUAACGAAUGUACACUCUUCUCGUGGCGGUGAAACUCCGCCGAGGCGACGUUCUCUCGCUCUUUCUGCGCGUACUUCGCGUGGCGUUUCUCUUUUUCUCAUUCCCGCCGUUUACCUUCUACUAUUCACUUCUGCAUUUCUCUCUUCUACAUCCAGCUGGUACGGUCGCGUCCAGUUUUCUUCGACAUCGCGUGUCUUCAAAAACUUCUAUAGCAACCCGCGGUGCGCAAAAGCGAGGACGAAAGUGAUAUUUGCCGACGGAAUUUAAUCUCAAAAGAUCCUUUUCUAAUUUCUUUGGAACGAAAAAAUCUAAAUGAAGCCGUUUUUAUCGCCGCUAUUUUAUCGGAGAAAUUAAAGGAAGCGCGUUUAAGCGUGUAAUGCAACAAACGUGCUACAUGGAAGUGCCCGCUAAUAACGAACUUUGAUUGCGACGACGUCGAGUAACAACGAUGGUGAUGGCCAACGGCACGAUACGCGGGCAUCUGAGAGAAUCUAUUUAUCGGCUGAUUUAUAGUAUAAUUAUCCGAUCGACGAUUGCGCGAGCUCUGGGCGAUGGGAAAGAUAGUCACCGUCAACGCGAGAUGCCGAACGUUUCUAUCGUGGCGAAUCAUGCAGCCUGGGAAAUACCAAUCGAAUCGGACCUCCUGUUCAAAGCGCAUUCCAUAAGUUCUGAAUUUACGCGCGUGCGCGAGAUCGUUCCAUACUGUUUGUCCCGUCGACGAGGAUGGGGCCGACUCCGCAGACGAUAGUCGGUGAUUUAUUUGGAGUAUUUGUUCGGGGAAAACGGAGUACUCGCGGAAGAGAGACGAGCGACAACCGCAAAACGACGCGGCGACAGCAAAACAAACGAUUUCCAAGCGGCUGCCACUUCGGGGACGCCCCCGAAUUUCUUAUACGGAUGGUAGGUCAAGGGUCGUGGUUUGGUAGGAAGACAAAGUUGCGUCUACGCGAUUUCCGAGAUUCGCGAAACUACUUUUAUCGCGAUUGACAAUUGGUCUUUUCUGUCGCUCUUGAAUCAUUAUCGUCUUCUUUAUUUCUGCGGAUUUACGCUUGUUAUCUAAAGAUUAAAGAAUGUAAUGAUAUUAUUCUGAUAAAGUCGUAAUAUUAAUUUAUCAGCAGUCACGACAGAAAUGACGAACAGACGAGCGUAUCUUUAUUCUUACAAACAGCUGACGUUUGCUUUCUUUGAAUAGGGUUGCCAUCCGUCCUCUUUUCCCCGGAUCCUGUCUUUUUUUUUUUUUAGAGUAUUUGGGAUUGUUUGGGGAGAUUUUUGAAAGUGUUGAAAAUUUACCCGGAAAAAUUAUGUGCGUCCAAGUUAAAUAUUUUAAUUAUUUAUUUCCUUUAUCGUGUUUUUUUCAAUGGCACAACCACUUAUAUUGAGAGGCUAAGUAACAAUUAAAUAUAAUAAAAUUAAAAUAUUUAAUAGAUUUACAACAAAAUAAUGGUUUAAUUUUUAAUUUCGAAUUUGUAGCUAAUUUUUCUCAUGGAAUUUACAGUCAAUUUAAGAGUGAAUAAUUUGAUUCUUUUUUAUUCUUUCAAGAUUAAAUGUUAUAUCAAUUAAUAUACGAAAAGAAUUAUUAGAUUUAGCUAAUUUUUUCAAUAUAUGAACGUAUACAAUAAUAAAUAAAUAAAUAAAUAAAUAAAUAAAUAAAUAAAUAAAUAAAUAUUUCUCUUCUGUCUUGUUUCUGAUAAAACAUUCGUGAAUUCCACAUUGCAUAAUGUGUGCAUAAUGAAAUUAAAUAAUAUGAUAGAUAAGGCUAUAUGUCCUUUGUGUCAAGUAUUCUGCAGAUUUAUACAUUUUUUAAAACUUAAUUAUUUUACCCUUUAUUUUAAAAAUAGUAUUGCAAAUUCUUUUCUGAAAAUUAGCGUUCCAGAAUUUAAUGAGAAAAUUUUUGUGAAAACAAAUUUAAUUUCUUGCAAUAUAAUUUGUAUCUUUCGUCAGUUGUGCUUUUUAAUUUUCUUUUAUUAAAAUUAUUCAAAUUAAAUCCGUGUAUGUUUCAUUUUUUAUUAUUUUGGACCGAUUUUAUAUUUAAAUCAAGAGUUGACUUCUUUUUAAUACAGACGACCCAAUAAUACAGUUUCAAAUUAUUAUAAAAUUGUACGGUGUAUAUAAUUCUGAUAUAUUGCGAAAAAUUUUUUAAUCAAAACAUUGAGCUUCGCCAUAUGUGUGGCUAAUCCCUUCUUUAAAAUAGAGCUCAUGGUUUCACGUUAUUUCGUACACGCUAGGCACGAGCCGAAGCGCUAGUUUUUUUUUUUUUUUUUUUACGAAUUUUCUCCUCCGAUUCUUAAGAUCAAUCGCUGCUUGCCCCCUCCCACGGUUCGCCGGGCGAUUCAGUACUAUCGGCGACACGCAAGCGGAAGGUCACGCUUCGCGAUCGUGCAUUUUUCUACUUGGUGCCGUGAGAUCUCGUCGUGUUCCUCGCGUCCUCUCGUAGUUUGAGAGAGUUUCCCCAUGGAAGUCAUCAACGGGGAUGUUGAACCGAGCCGACGCCGUUAAUCGUGUCGAGCGCCUGUGUGCGAACGCAAAACAUCGAUUCAUCAGCUGGUGAGUAAAUUUAUUUAUUAUAUUCGCGGAAUUAAUCGGCACGUGACGUCAUCGUCACCUAAUAUCUUAAUCAGAAUUUCAAGUGAUAAGUUCAUUAAAUUAAGAAUCAGUUUUCAAAAUUUUGUUUUUUCAAUUUUUCUAUUUUUUGCAAAUUUUUAAAUAUUUUUUUAAUAUUUUGAUAUUUCUAUAUUUUUGAUAUUUUAAGGGGAUGCUGGAGUGAUGGUAUAAUUUGAUCAAGGUCGAUAAUGUAGAAUCAUUACUAAACAGCUUUAACAAAAUUUUGUAUGUAUUUUUUUUAUAGAUUUCUAAAAUAUUAACUCUGAUCAAUUUGACCAUCACGUUGGUAUUUUCUUAACUGUUUUCAGUAUGUUUAUUAAAGAAUUGUAUGAUAUAUAAUAUUUUUAUUUGCAGCGCUAACGAGGAUUUACCACCUUUAUUGACAAAUCAUGGGCUUUAUUAGUUUUCUGGCAUGACAAACAAUUUGCGACACAUAUGGGACACGAGAGGUAAUGCUGCUACCGCUUUUAAAAUACUUCUUGGUUUAUCCUACUUGCAUUUGGCGUGCUACGUUCAAACUGCGCGCGUGAAGUUAACUACACCGCUGUGUGCGUAGAGUAGCGUGCGAUGACCGGGGGCGCCACUUGCGCGCGACAAGCGGGCACUCGGAGUUAGACACCACUGUUUUUUCAAUAUGGCGGAAGAAGAACGCGCGGGUUUGUGCGUGUAAGGAAUAUGAGUACUUCAACAAAUAAAUCAUGGAAGAAAUACAAGGGAAACCAUGCGUCGUUCAGCCCAUUGACCCACGGAAGGAAAAUAUCGCACGUAAGUGGUAGCCGAUGGAAACUCGUAGAUAACGAGCGAAGGGAGCGAGGGUGAGAGACAUCGCGACAGCACGAGGUAAGUAAACAUACGUUCGCGUCUCAAGAUCAAAGAUCAAUGCCCAUUGGAGUUGAUUUGAAACGCGAGCGCGCAAACAUUAUUAUAUACCUCCGUCGAUUUUACAUACAGUGCUCCGCCGCCAGUACAUGCACUUUGCCUCCUUUCUCCUCUCUAUUUUUUUUGAAUAUCCUUCGGGCGCGUCCCGAUGGGAAUGUGGACGUGAGUGCGUGUUCGCGGGGGGAGAGGGAACGCGAAAAGGGGAGCAGGAUAGAUAGCGCGACGCGGUGCAACUGUAUGUUAAUCGAACGCGCAUCCGAAUACGGAAUAAGAAUGGAAACCGUCUGGUUUAAUAUAGUAUUCUACGUUCCUCGUCACUUCGAUAGGCAUUCACCUCUUCCUUCGUCAUCUGGUUAUCUCUUUCAUAUCCAUGCAUUUCGCGCGCUCACCGUUGUUUCUUUCUUGCUCUGUUGAUUCGAGCAUCGCUGUCGACACUUUAUGAGAAUAGAGAAUAAUCCUUUCUGUAUUUUAUUUUUCAAUCGAGUUUAUCUUCAUAUUCUCUAUAUUUUCAGUUUUCUUUUUAACUCGCAUGCGUAUUGAUAAUUUGUAGACCCCAAAUUUUGUUUAAGCGACGUUAAAAAAAUCGCGCAUACUUUCGUAAUUUACCUCUUAAUAGCACGACAUAUAGCACUCGUUUUAUCGAAAUUAAAAGAAUAUAAUACCAUAAAUUUAUAAAUGUAUUUUCAAUAAUGUAAAUAAUUAUUGGAAAUUCAUUCUUUUACAAUAAUAAAAUAAUUACAUUUUGCUGUCUAUUUUAUAUUUUUAUGAGUAAUAUCGGUAUCGGACAUAUUGAUGUUAUUGAUUGUAUAUAGAAUCAAGAAAUCUUAAGACAUAUGCUGACGUCCAUCAGCGAGCAUCAUUGUGCGCUGUUUAAACCAAUCGCCGUGGAAAACCGAGCGAUAUAAUGUACUGUCGGGGUCUGCGGCGAGAUUCGCUCGCGGGCAAAAGACGCGCCUCAGGUGGUCUCGGGCUCCGUUGCCGUCGUCCGUCGUUCGACGAGCUGACGAGCGAGUUCGCAAUAAAUUGGAAUACGCCAACGCGCCAUCAACCGCGUCUCUUUCUUUCUCUCGAUGACUCCCGGGCCCCGAUAGUCGUUCGAACACGAAUAAUGGUAAGGAGAGGGUGUUCUCUCGAGUCACCUGUCACAGUCGGCAGAUAAACGCGAGAGUACCCGCGAGUCGCCUGCGAGUGCUCACGUUCUUGGUUGCCGGUCUAGUUGAGUCCACCACCGAGUCAUCGAUGGAUCUCUUCUCUCCUUCUCGUGAAGUAAAUCUCGCACCGACAAUCGCGACGGGCGCGAGUUAGGUACGAACUAGAUCCCGCGAAGGAAGCCCAUGGAACACGGUUUCCCGAAGAGAGACUCGCGGACGCUCGGUAAUGUGCGGCGAAUUGAAAGCGAGCUGCGGCGCAGUCGUUAGCCCGACUGACUAGCGAAGUACGUCUCUGAUGUAAGAAUGAAGUGCACGUCAGGAGGGACGUGCCCGCUGCGAUUUCCUGAUGCCGGGAACACGCGCGGUGUCUCCUGCCUUAUUUGAUGGCGGGAGUGAUGCCGGGAUUGAUAGGUGUGCUUUUUUUAUAACGUUGGCGCGUCUCCCUCGGCGCGAACUGUCCUAUAGAAAUUCAAUGUCUGCAAUGGAGAAGGAUAACCGCUGAUUUAAUUUAAUUUUUUUAAUUGGAAGGAUUUGUCUCAGUAAUUGAGGUAUAAUUCGUACAGAAUUCGGUUUGUUAUUAUUUGUCGCGUAUUGAUAUUAAUAUUUACAUUUACGAAUACAAAAUCGUAGUGUAAAGCAGAUUCUGUACAAAUAGAUAACUACAUUAGAAAUGCUACCUCCUCAAGAGAUAUGUAUUUGCGAGCUUAAGUAGAGAAAAUAAUCCCGGAAAUUCGAGUCGAAAGAAACCACUUACGUCGUUGAAAUUGUUUUCACUUUAUUUCGACUGUGGCGGAUAAUAAAUUUUCGUUGGAAACGGAAGUCGUGUGGACGUAGCGGCAAUGUUCUAUAAAAAGGUAAGAGCAGUUCCUCGGGCUUCAGGAAGCAAGAGAUAUAAGAAAAAAAGAAGAGAAAAAAGGGAGGGGAGGAGAGAUGCACCCCUUAAUGGACUCCGUUCCAUAACAGUGUGUCCCGGAGCACCGCGACUACAAGACAGGUUGAGUAGAUCAGCUGAGCGAGUAGGAAAAGAAGUCAAGUGUCGUACAUUAGCGUGAUAAAGAUGCGCCAGAAACGCGCCGCGUGAGGCACGUUCUAUCGAGAGGCCAGAAACCGUGCCACGAAACCUCUCGAUUAGACCUACAUGCGCGGAACGAAGGAGGAAAUAGGAGGAGUAAAAGAGGAAGGAGGAGUAGGAGGAAGAGGAAGAGGUGAAGUAUGACGAGGAGAAAAUCAGCGUAACCGGCUAUGUUCGCCUAGCGUUUCCCUCUUGGCAACCGAGUCGAGUUGCCUCUGCAGGGGUACUUAAAAAAAUCUAGACCACCCAGCGACCCUUUUCCGGAUUGCGUGAAGGGUUGCAUGCCCACGUAGUUCAGUGCAACUAGGUGCUUUACGUUUCGUCGUACUCUUCGCACGUUUACGCGUAAAGUGGACGAACGUCAAAGGAGAAAUGGACUACGAAAGAGAGUAUGUUGAUCUUGGUUGCUUGUUCGUAGUUGCAUAUCACAUUUUCUUUUCUCUUUCUUUCUCCUUCACUCACAUAUGUAUGUAGAUCAUACGACAUAUGGAAGGAAUUAUUCUUAGGGUCAGAGUAGGGUUUUGCGCGAAUGUAAAAGUGCGAAAAGGGACGAGAGGUGCCAUUAGGGCGGGAGUGAGUGUGCGAAAAGAGAGGAGCGCGCGGGGAAGGUAAGGAGAGAAUAAGGGAACAUACCGUGUACAUACGCGCGUUGUCGAGGAGGGUGAGAAAUCGGAGCAAAGGGUAAGGCGGAGGGAGAACGGCACGAUACCGAUGGAAAUGUGAGGAUCGAGGGAGAAUGAGAAAAAGAGACAGCGAACGACAAAGAGGCGUAAGAAGAACGAAAGAUCGGGCGAAGAGAAAGGGGCGAUACUGCAUGCAGAAAUAGGGGUUGACGAGGAGGAAAUCGGGCUGGAGGUUGCAUACGAAGAUGCAUACACGCGGUGCGCACGAGCACUCGCCAGGGCAGUGCACCCUGACGGGUGCAUUGAUCCCUCGUAGGCCGUGCGUAGGUACGCCUUAACUGCUACCCCGUUUUUUUUCUCGCAUCCCUCGCCUCUUGUCCCUUUGGAUUGCACUCCUCUAAUUCUUCGCCUUGCCCCAUGUACUUAUGCGCAGUGCAUCGUCGCGUGCACUCGUAUGCAUGCAUACGCGUAAGCAGAAGCGUGUUCCCUUCUUCGUCUUGGCAAGCGUCACAGGGGUUGGGAAAAAUGUUGGAUUUUUCUCUCGCGCGAGACGACGAUGACGAACGGCGACGUUGUUUUCCGUUUAGCUUGCGUUUCAAAGGGUAACGCGUCGUUACCGUUAAAAAAAAAAUUUGCGGGAAAGAGUUACGAGAACGAAAAAAAUAACUCACAAACGCGAAAAGUGCGUGCGCACGGAAAGUAGGGCGGCAGUGAAACUCGUUAAAAUGAAUAUGCGGUUUAGGUGAAUUGCGUGUAAAACAUGUAAUGUGUAUGAAAGGUUUGAAAAAAAAAAACACGUAUGCGUGAUUUUCUGUUAAUCACCUUGUUGAUCGGCAAAACGUUCUUUAAAAAUAUUGCCUCGAUAAUUAUAUGUAUUUAAGAGUGAUCUUUUAGCACGUAUCUUAAGGUGAUCAUGUAAUCAUAUGUCUUAUAUAACGAUGUCUAGUUAGAAACUGCACGAGUAUUUUCCCCUUUUUCAACAUCACACAGACGCGUAGACGCAUAUUUUGUGCACGGCGUCAGCAGUUAAUAAUGAUGGAGCGUGAAAUGUAACUAUAUGAUAUUGAAUCCGAAAAUUCUCAUUUAUGACAAAAAAUGAAAAUGAUCCUUGCAGAAAUUUUAUUGUGAUUUAUCGGCGCUACGCAUCACUCGGUUGUAGCUCGUAACUUUGCCACCUCGCGUUAAAUCCGUGACAGUGAUAAACUGAUCAGCAAUUGACGUGUGCAACACAAUCGCGUGCACACUCGCGCAUUCGAGGGCGCUUUAAAAUCUUCCGCCAUUACAGAAAAUGUACGACCGGGGCGGAACGCGUGAUAAGCCAGGUUUUCGCAGCUACGUAUCAAUUUGUGAUAUCGAGUUACCUGCAUCGCGGCGGCGCGUCGAAAGCAAUCCUUCACCUCUCGCGUGCAUUUUUCCGUCGGGGCACGCGCCUAUUUCUCGGUGCAUAAAUCAUACACCUUCGCAUUCACCCCUUUCUCGAGGCAGACAGAGGCAGGCGGGAGAAAGAAAGAAAACGAGAGAUCGGAUCGAUUGGCGACCCGCAUGGGAAAAAGCGUGCAAAAACUACGCGUUAAGUCUCGACACGCCUACACAAUGGGGUUUCUCCUCUCCUCGAUGUCUUCGAAAGCAUAUCAUAAAAAUUCGAGCGCGAGCGAGAGAUCGGUCCGUACCUACAUCAUCACUGUCGGCUGUCUCGCGACGAGACGACAGGAGCAGCGCGCCCGUACCCCGAAGAUAAGGAAAUGAAGAGCUGAUAAUUAGAGCGUGGCGCACCACGCCCUCUCUUGAACCGUCCAGGGAUAAUCGUGAUCUCGCUAUAAUAUUCCCGUACGCGUGUACGUGUUGGUGUGAUGGUUGCGUACGUAAAUACGUAUGUGUGCUCGUUUCCGUAUACGUCAACGUGGCGUGCUGUUGCACAAAGUAUGGCGGCCAUGUGGCUCGGUCAACCCCGGUGGUCCACUGCAUUUAGAACGGUACGAGUGGACCCGCUUGUGGACCAGCCGUACAAAGCGUAUAUCGCGAUAACGAGCCUGGGAAUUGUACGCGACGAAUAGAGACCUCUCCGGCUUCCGGCUUUCCACGAGGAUGCUCGCGCGACCUGAAUCAACGGCGUUGGAGAAUGUCUCUCGGGUAAGGACGAUAUUUUGGCACUAAAUUUCCAGCGCGUCCCGAUAACGUUAUUCACGUUAAUAUUUAACCGUCUGGUUUGUGUUUAGUUUUUUCCCGCGCUGUAAAGAAAAAAACAACGGGCACAGAAAUAGCUUGAGAGCACUUUAUUUCAAUUUGAUUAAAAUUGCAGCUCUAAUUUAUGAUUCUCAAUAUUUUUCAAUAAUUAAUACGUAUUGUUUAAUAAAUUAA